UGGGAAGUAUUGCAUCAAUGGGGAACCGGUAGCAUGCAGCCAUGCCGCGUGUAUGAAGAAGGCCUUAGGGUUGUAAAGUACUUUCGGUGAUGAGGAAGGUACUUGGUCUAAUAGGCCAAGUAAUUGACGUUAAUUACAGAAGAAGCACCGGCUAACUCCGUGCCAGCAGCCGCGGUAAUACGGAGGGUGCGAGCGUUAAUCGGAAUGACUGGGCGUAAAGGGCAUGUAGGCGGAUGAUUAAGUUAGGUGUGAAAAUCCCCGACGCGCUCAACUUGGGGAAUUGCAUUUAAAACUGGUCGUCUAGAGUAUUGUAGAGGAAGGUAGAAUUCCACGUGUAGCGGUGAAAUGCGUUAGAGAUGUGGAGGAAUACCGGUGGCGAAGGCGGCCUUCUGGACAGAUACUGACGCUGAGAUGCGAAAGCGUGGGGAGCAAACA
rnacentral:rRNA from 1 species